rnacentral:rRNA from 1 species
AAAGAGGCAUUAUUUUCAUUCGAGGACGUGCCUUCCUCUUUGCCUCCUGCUGUCACUAACAUUUUUAAGGAGUUCGCUGACGUCUUUCCACAAGACGUGCCACCGGGAUUACCGCCUAUUCGAGGGAUUGAGCAUCAGAUUGACUUAAUUCCCGGUGCUUCACUGCCAAACCGUGCACCAUACCGUACCAAUCCAGAGGAGACGAAGGAGAUUAUGCGCCAAGUACAAGAGCUUCUCGACAAAGGUUAUAUACGCGAAUCCCUUAGUCCUUGUGCUGUUCCUAUUAUUCUAGUGCCGAAAAAGGAUGGUACAUCACGUAUGUGUGUUGAUUGUAGAGGCAUUAAUAAUAUUACUAUUCGUUAUCGUCAUCCUAUUCCUAGGCUAGAUGAUAUGCUUGAUGAAUUGAGUGGCUCUACAAUAUUCUCCAAAGUUGAUUUGCGUAGUGGCUACCAUCAAAUUCGUAUGAAAUUGGGAGAUGAAUGGAAAACAACAUUUCAAACUAAGUUUGGAUUAUAUGAGUGGUUAGUCAUGCCUUUUGGGUUAACUAAUGCACCUAGUACUUUCAUGAGAUUAAUGAACGAAGUUUUACGUGCUUUCAUUGGACGAUUUGUGGUAGUUUACUUUGAUGACAUACUGAUUUAUAGCAGAUCUUUGGAAGAACAUUUGGAACAUUUACGUGCUGUUUUUAUUGCUCUACGUGAUGCACGUUUGUUUGGUAACCUUGGGAAGUGCACCUUUUGCACCGACCGAGUAUCUUUUCUUGGCUAUGUUGUUACUCCACAGGGAAUUGAAGUUGACAAAGCCAAGAUUGAAGCUAUUGAGAGUUGGCCGCAGCCCAAAACGGUCACACAAGUGAGGAGUUUUCUUGGCCUCGCUGGAUUCUAUAGGCGUUUUGUGAGAGAUUUCAGCACCAUUGCUGUACCUCUCAACGAGCUUACAAAGAAGGAUGUGCCUUUUGUUUGGGGUACCGCACAGGAAGAAGCCUUCACGGUAUUGAAAGAUAAGUUGACACAUGCUCCUUUACUCCAACUUCCUGAUUUUAAUAAGACUUUUGAGCUUGAAUGUGAUGCUAGUGGAAUUGGAUUAGGAGGUGUGUUAUUACAAGAUGGCAAACCUGUUGCAUACUUUUCUGAAAAAUUGAGUGGGCCUAGUCUGAAUUAUUCUACUUAUGAUAAAGAAUUAUAUGCUCUUGUUCGGACUUUAGAAACAUGGCAACAUUAUUUAUGGCCCAAAGAAUUUGUUAUACAUUCUGAUCAUGAAUCUUUGAAACAUAUUAAAAGUCAAGCUAAACUGAAUCGUAGACAUGCUAAAUGGGUUGAAUUCAUUGAGACUUUCCCUUAUGUCAUUAAACACAAGAAGGGAAAAGAAAAUGUUAUUGCUGAUGCAUUGUCUCGUCGCUAUACUAUGCUUUCACAACUUGAUUUCAAAAUAUUUGGUUUGGAGACCAUCAAAGAUCAAUAUGUGCAUGAUGCUGAUUUUAAAGAUGUAAUGCAGAAUUGUAAAGAAGGAAGAAUGUGGAACAAGUUUGUCGUUAACGAUGGAUUUGUGUUUCGUGCUAACAAGCUAUGCAUUCCAGCUAGCUCCGUUCGUCUUUUGUUGUUGCAGGAGGCGCAUGGAGGAGGAUUAAUGGGACACUUUGGCGUGAAGAAGACGGAGGACGUCCUGGCUACACAUUUCUUUUGGCCAAAGAUGAGACGGGAUGUUGAGCGUUUUAUUGCUCGAUGCACUACAUGUCAAAAAGCUAAGUCACGACUCAAUCCUCAUGGUUUAUAUAUGCCUUUGCCUGUACCUAGUGUUCCUUGGGAGGAUAUAUCUAUGGACUUUGUUUUAGGUUUACCUCGAACAAAGAAGGGGAGGGAUAGCAUAUUUGUUGUCGUGGAUAGAUUCUCGAAAAUGGCACACUUUAUACCAUGUCAUAAAAGCGAUGAUGCUGUUAAUGUUGCUGAUUUGUUCUUUCGUGAAAUUAUUCGCUUGCAUGGUGUGCCAAAUACUAUUGUUUCAGAUCGUGAUACUAAAUUUCUUAGCCACUUUUGGAGAUGUUUAUGGGCUAAGUUGGGGACUAAACUGCUUUUUAGUACUACUUGUCACCCCCAAACUGAUGGACAAACUGAAGAAGUCAAUAGAACGUUGUCUACUAUGCUUAGGGCUGUUUUGAAGAAUAAUAAGAAAAUGUGGGAGGAAUGCUUGCCUCAUAUUGAAUUUGCUUAUAAUCGUUCAUUGCAUUCUACUACUAAGAUGUGCCCUUUCGAAGUUGUGUAUGGUUUCCUACCUCGUGCACCUAUUGAUUUGUUGCCUCUUCCAUCUUCGGAGAAGGUUAAUUUUGAUGCUAAACAACGUGCUGAAUUAAUUUUAAAAAUGCAUGAGUUAACUAAGGAAAACAUUGAGCGUAUGAAUGCUAAAUAUAAACUUGCUGGAGAUAAGGGUAGAAAACAUGUUGUGUUUGCACCUGGAGAUCUUGUUUGGUUACAUUUGCGUAAGGAUAGAUUUCCUGAUUUGCGCAAAUCAAAGCUAAUGCCACGUGCUGAUGGUCCCUUUAAGGUGUUAGAGAAAAUAAAUGAUAAUGCAUAUAAACUUGAGCUGCCUGCAGAUUUUGGGGUUAGUCCCACUUUUAACAUUGCAGAUUUGAAGCCUUACUUGGGUGAGGAAGAU